UAUUGCAUGUGACACAAACCUUAGCUC
rnacentral:piRNA from 1 species